AGGGCUCAGUUGGUAGAGUGCUUGCCUCACAUGCAAAAGGAAAGCCCUGGGUUCAAUCCCUAGCACUG
rnacentral:tRNA from 1 species